rnacentral:lncRNA from 1 species
UGACCCUAAACUUGACAUCAAAUUAUAACUUUAACCUUAAACUUUGACAGUGCACAAAUAUGAACUUUAACUAUUCAAAACUGCACAAAUAUGACCUCCAAUCCUACGUGGCAAAAUGCGUGUUCAACACGCAAAACUGAGCGCGUUUAGCUUAAAAUCUAAGGGCAUAAUACAUAAAUAUGACCUUAAACUUUGACAGUGCACAAAUAUGACCUUUAACUAUUCAAAACUGCACAAAUAUGACCUUUAAAUGACUUUUCACUAUUAUUUUUUAAAUUAUUUUUGGCUCAAAGAUGAAAAUGGCAUCUAAUUUCUUUUGUCAUUGCGGAAAAAGAGCAAUAUUGAAGAUUUAUUAAUUAGGUGGGUCAACCUCAUACAAAAAAAUCGCGCGGGUAUGUAUAUAUAUUAUAAAGC